GGGUUGUGAGGUUAAGCGACUAAGCGUACACGGUGGAUGCCCUGGCAGUCAGAGGCGAUGAAGGACGUGCUAAUCUGCGAAAAGCGUCGGUAAGGUGAUAUGAACCGUUACAGCCGGCGAUGUCCGAAUGGGGAAACCCAGUGUGAUUCGUCACACUAUCGUUAACUGAAUACAUAGGUUAACGAGGCGAACCGGGGGAACUGAAACAUCUAAGUACCCCGAGGAAAAGAAAUCAACCGAGAUUCCCCCAGUAGCGGCGAGCGAACGGGGAGCAGCCCAGAGUCUGAAUCAGCUUGUGUGUUAGUGGAACGGUCUGGAAAGUCCGACGGUACAGGGUGAUAGUCCCGUACACCAAAAUGCACAGGCUGUGAACUCGAAGAGUAGGGCGGGACACGUGGUAUCCUGUCUGAAUAUGGGGGGACCAUCCUCCAAGGCUAAAUACUCCUGACUGACCGAUAGUGAACCAGUACCGUGAGGGAAAGGCGAAAAGAACCCCGGCGAGGGGAGUGAAAAAGAACCUGAAACCGUGUACGUACAAGCAGUGGGAGCACCUUCGGGUGUGACUGCGUACCUUUUGUAUAAUGGGUCAGCGACUUAUAUUCUGUAGCAAGGUUAACCGUAUAGGGGAGCCGCAGGGAAACCGAGUCUUAACUGGGCGUUAAGUUGCAGGGUAUAGACCCGAAACCCGGUGAUCUAGCCAUGGGCAGGUUGAAGGUUGGGUAACACUAACUGGAGGACCGAACCGACUAAUGUUGAAAAAUUAGCGGAUGACUUGUGGCUGGGGGUGAAAGGCCAAUCAAACCGGGAGAUAGCUGGUUCUCCCCGAAAGCUAUUUAGGUAGCGCCUCGUGAACUCAUCUUCGGGGGUAGAGCACUGUUUCGGCUAGGGGGUCAUCCCGACUUACCAACCCGAUGCAAACUACGAAUACCGAAGAAUGUUAUCACGGGAGACACACGGCGGGUGCUAACGUCCGUCGUGAAGAGGGAAACAACCCAGACCGCCAGCUAAGGUCCCAAAGUCAUGGUUAAGUGGGAAACGAUGUGGGAAGGCACAGACAGCCAGGAUGUUGGCUUAGAAGCAGCCAUCAUUUAAAGAAAGCGUAAUAGCUCACUGGUCGAGUCGGCCUGCGCGGAAGAUGUAACGGGGCUAAACCAUGCACCGAAGCUGCGGCAGCGACACUAUAUGUUGUUGGGUAGGGGAGCGUUCUGUAAGCCUGCGAAGGUGUGCUGUGAGGCAUGCUGGAGGUAUCAGAAGUGCGAAUGCUGACAUAAGUAACGAUAAAGCGGGUGAAAAGCCCGCUCGCCGGAAGACCAAGGGUUCCUGUCCAACGUUAAUCGGGGCAGGGUGAGUCGACCCCUAAGGCGAGGCCGAAAGGCGUAGUCGAUGGGAAACAGGUUAAUAUUCCUGUACUUGGUGUUACUGCGAAGGGGGGACGGAGAAGGCUAUGUUAGCCGGGCGACGGUUGUCCCGGUUUAAGCAUGUAGGCUGGUUAUCCAGGCAAAUCCGGAUAAUCAAGGCUGAGGUGUGAUGACGAGGCACUACGGUGCUGAAGUAACAAAUGCCCUGCUUCCAGGAAAAGCCUCUAAGCAUCAGGUAACAUCAAAUCGUACCCCAAACCGACACAGGUGGUCAGGUAGAGAAUACCAAGGCGCUUGAGAGAACUCGGGUGAAGGAACUAGGCAAAAUGGUGCCGUAACUUCGGGAGAAGGCACGCUGGUGUGUAGGUGAAGCCCCUGCGGGUGGAGCUGAGACCAGUCGAAGAUACCAGCUGGCUGCAACUGUUUAUUAAAAACACAGCACUGUGCAAACACGAAAGUGGACGUAUACGGUGUGACGCCUGCCCGGUGCCGGAAGGUUAAUUGAUGGGGUUAUCCGUAAGGAGAAGCUCUUGAUCGAAGCCCCGGUAAACGGCGGCCGUAACUAUAACGGUCCUAAGGUAGCGAAAUUCCUUGUCGGGUAAGUUCCGACCUGCACGAAUGGCGUAAUGAUGGCCAGGCUGUCUCCACCCGAGACUCAGUGAAAUUGAACUCGCUGUGAAGAUGCAGUGUACCCGCGGCAAGACGGAAAGACCCCGUGAACCUUUACUAUAGCUUGACACUGAACAUUGAGCCUUGAUGUGUAGGAUAGGUGGGAGGCUUUGAAGCGUGGACGCCAGUCUGCGUGGAGCCAACCUUGAAAUACCACCCUUUAAUGUUUGAUGUUCUAACGUUGGCCCCUUACCGGGGUUGCGGACAGUGUCUGGUGGGUAGUUUGACUGGGGCGGUCUCCUCCCAAAGCGUAACGGAGGAGCACGAAGGUUAGCUAAUCCUGGUCGGACAUCAGGAGGUUAGUGCAAUGGCAUAAGCUAGCUUGACUGCGAGCGUGACGGCGCGAGCAGGUGCGAAAGCAGGUCAUAGUGAUCCGGUGGUUCUGAAUGGAAGGGCCAUCGCUCAACGGAUAAAAGGUACUCCGGGGAUAACAGGCUGAUACCGCCCAAGAGUUCAUAUCGACGGCGGUGUUUGGCACCUCGAUGUCGGCUCAUCACAUCCUGGGGCUGAAGUAGGUCCCAAGGGUAUGGCUGUUCGCCAUUUAAAGUGGUACGCGAGCUGGGUUUAGAACGUCGUGAGACAGUUCGGUCCCUAUCUGCCGUGGGCGCUGGAGAAUUGAGGGGGGCUGCUCCUAGUACGAGAGGACCGGAGUGGACGCAUCACUGGUGUUCGGGUUGUCAUGCCAAUGGCACUGCCCGGUAGCUAAAUGCGGAAGAGAUAAGUGCUGAAAGCAUCUAAGCACGAAACUUGCCCCGAGAUGAGUUCUCCCUGAGACUUUAAGUCUCCUGAAGGAACGUUAAAGACGAUGACGUUGAUAGGCCGGGUGUGUAAGCGCAGCGAUGCGUUGAGCUAACCGGUACUAAUGAACCGUGAGGCUUAACCUUACAACGCCGAAG
rnacentral:rRNA from 1 species